AGUUGUACAGCUUCACUCUGAAUAGAAAAAUCUCACCUGUAUUUCUUACUAGUGUAGUGUACUAAUGUUGAGGCCUAUCCCGAUGGGACCUCUUCUGUAGGUUCAGGUCGUUGGAAAUGCCUCAUAGAGCAAACUUUGUAGUUUCGCUUUACCCAUUCAACUAUUUGUUAGUUCUAUGGGAUAAAACUGCAAGACAGUCUUAAAAUGCUGUGCCAAGCAUUGCCAACUCUGGACAUAGAUAGUAAUGUGUUCUUUUUCCAUGUAGGUACUGACUGCAGCGUUUGAUGGUGAUGGAAAGUUUCUCAGUAAUAUAAAGUUGCUAGUCAUUUGCUAGUGAGCAUUUUGACAGCAGAUCCCAAAGGAAGACAAAGACCUGAUAUUUGCAAUACAGCUAGAAUUCCUUCUCUGUCAAACGUUAGUGAUACCUGGCAAAAUUGCAGAACAGGAACUUGCUGGACAAUUUCUGUUAAGACCAUUUUUUUUAGAAGAUUUAAUGGAGUGAUUUCUGAUGGAAACCUGUGGUAUGACUUCAUAAUGGACUGAUUCUGCAAAACAGCAAAAAAAUUCUUGUGCCUUGCUGUGUAAACCUAAUGGACUGUACAGUGAAGAAUUACUUGGUUGUUUGUUUGUUUGUUUUUUUUUGUUUUGUUUUUUAAUUUAAAAAGACUUUCCUGAAAUCUUUCAGAUGAAUGUAUAAAAUUCUUUAAAAACUAAAAAAAAAAAAAAAAAAAAAAGUUUUCUGUAACUUGGAUGUCUUGGGCUAGCAUGUAAUCGUACUCCAAGCUCUGGAAUAUUCUGACAACAAAGAAGCAAAAAGCUAGAACCACAAGAGGACUUAAUGCUUAAAUCUAGAACUUGGAUCCACAAAAUCCCUGCUCAACUCCUCUCUAAUUAUGGAAGCAUUUAAAAUCCUAAAGAGUCUGUGCUUCUGCCAAUAAAAUUAAAAAAGAG